CAGUCUGAGUCUGAACAGCCCAUAAUGCGUCCAGGGUGCGUAGCUGGCAGCAAAUGACACUUCCAUGCUCGGUUGUGUCUGCUACCACGUCGGCAACGGCCAGAGAGGAAUCAGCUGCGGCGAAAAACAGACAUGCUGGACCAACUGUAAAUCUUACGGAUGUUCUCUCUGGAGCGAACCGUGCAAUAACCUCAAGCCACCAUCCACUGCGAUACCCGCCUGUGAACACUGGAUACUGAGGAGCGGCUAUGAACUGCCGCUGCCUGCUGCGCAAAACCCGCAGCCUCAAUGCGGGGAGAAUUGUGGGUGCGCCCUGGCUGCGAUCCGUGGCCUCACGUGGCCCGCAGUCAGCGAAGCCACCACUGACCUCGUAUGCCUCGUCGCCGCCGAAAGGGGCUAAACGACUUCAUCUGAGACAUCCCAUCUUCUCGCAGUUGCUGCAGGCUUUUCGUCGCAUCUCAACAGUCAUAAUCACGAGAAGUCUACUUAUCGAUAAAUAUAGCUGAAAUUUUAUUCUGCUCUACCAGUUCUCCAACAAAACUUGUGAGGCGUGGUAGCUGCAGAGCAGAUGCAACGCUACGCUCUCCGCGGACACUGGCUUCCUGGAGCUCCUGAUGAACGUCCUGGACCAUCCCACCUGUCCACUGGAAGACCUGCCGCCAGACACCAUGGAGCCGCCUAAGCAGCUGCGAAACGACGUGCCGCCGAGGUCUCCCAACAUCCCUGUGGCCAGCGACCUCGCGUGCACACCUCUGCCUCUUUCCCUGGAUCGCUGUCAGCUCGUUCAGCAUUUGUCAGGACGUCCCAUUUACUACGACACACAGUGUGCAUGAUGCACGCUGCUAUUUAGACAGUCUUGCCAAGCAGUCGUGUCCGGAAUUGAAGGCUCUGUUUCCAGAGCUAUCCUGUUUCUGAAGUGUCGCAAUUUGUUCCUUUGUAAAGUCUCCUGGAGGGUCACCUUUUCCAGAAAAAUAAGUAACUUACUGCCCGAAUUUGAUUGGAAAGAGGACAAGCCAACAGAGAAAACACUGAGUCACAGAGCCAUGUUAGGCAGUGCCACCUCGAAAUACAAGCAUAUUAAAAUGCACAGAUUAAAACUUUUCGAAAUCUGA